rnacentral:rRNA from 1 species
AACGAACGCUGGCGGCAGGCUUAACACAUGCAAGUCGAGCGCCCCGCAAGGGGAGCGGCAGACGGGUGAGUAACGCGUGGGAAUCUACCCAUCUCUACGGAAUAACGCAUGGAAACGUGUGCACAUACCGUAUACGUCCUUCGGGAGACAGAUUUAUCGGAGAUGGAUGAGCCCGCGUUGGAUUAGCUAGUUGGUGGGGUAAAGGCCUACCAAGGCGACGAUCCAUAGCUGGUCUGAGAGGAUGAUCAGCCACACUGGGACUGAGACACGGCCCAGACUCCUACGGGAGGCAGCAGUGGGGAAUAUUGGACAAUGGGCGCAAGCCUGAUCCAGCCAUGCCGCGUGAGUGAUGAAGGCCCUAGGGUUGUAAAGCUCUUUCACCGGUGAAGAUAAUGACGGUAACCGGAGAAGAAGCCCCGGCUAACUUCGUGCCAGCCGCCGCCGUAAAAC